AGGCUGCGAACUGCUCGUGGUGCAGGAACCCGGUGAGAGUCCGGGGCGGUUCCGCCACUGUGACGUCGACAAGACGCAGCCAGACACUGGCCAUGGGCUUAUCCCACCG
rnacentral:ncRNA from 1 species